rnacentral:rRNA from 1 species
AACGAACGCUGGCGGCAGGCUUAACACAUGCAAGUCGAACGCCCCGCAAGGGGAGUGGCAGACGGGUGAGUAACGCGUGGGAACGUGCCCUUCGCUUCGGAAUAGCCCCGGGAAACUGGGAGUAAUACCGAAUACGCCGUAUUGGGAAAGAUUUAUCGGCGAAGGAUCGGCCCGCGUUAGAUUAGCUAGUUGGCGGUGUAAUGGACCACCAAGGCUACGAUCUAUAGCUGGUCUGAGAGGAUGAUCAGCCACACUGGGACUGAGACACGGCCCAGACUCCUACGGGAGGCAGCAGUGGGGAAUCUUGGACAAUGGGCGCAAGCCUGAUCCAGCCAUGCCGCGUGAGUGAAGAAGGCCUUAGGGUUGUAAAACUCUUUCGCCGGAGAAGAUAAUGACGGUAUCCGGAGAAGAAGCCCCGGCUAACUUCGUGCCAGCAGCCGCCGCUG